UUUUUGACUACAGAGAGUGAUGCAGUAUUGACUCUAAUGCUGAUUGGAGUUGUCUGAUCCUGUAUUUUUGUUCUUUGUCUUUUGUUACACAGAGUGAACAGAUCUUUGGUUUUGCCUUUGCUGACUGCUGAUCUGAUCGUCUCAAGUCUGGUGACCUGUUGCAGAAGAUCCUCU